rnacentral:rRNA from 1 species
AUGCCUUGUCGUCAUCCCUCUCUGACCACUGCCCUCUCCUGCUCGCCGAUGACGGGGCCGUGGUCUUUCAAGUUUGAGAACUUCUGGGUCUCAUUGCCCGGGUUUAUUGACGUGGCGCAGAAGGCGUGGAAUGAGCGAGCGAACCAUUCAGAGCCCUUGCAAGUUUUGCACCACAAGUUGAAGAAAACCGCGCUUCGUCCCACCUAG